UGCAAGUCAUCAGGUUUAAAGAGACAUAUCACGCUCAUUCUCAGGCUCAUACUUGUAUUUUAGGUUUCUACUAGAACAUGUGUACAUGCUUUAAUGU